GCCGAGGUAGCUCAUUGGUAGAGCGCCGCGCUGAAAACGCGGGCGUAGGCAGUUCAAUUCUGCCCCUCGGCACCA
rnacentral:tRNA from 1 species